rnacentral:rRNA from 1 species
UGACGCAGCAUGCCGCGUGAUGAGAAGGCCUUCGGGUUGUAAAGUUCUUUCGGUGACGAGGAAGGUUGUUGUGUUAAUAGCGCAACAAAUUGACGUUAAUCACAGAAGAAGCACCGGCUAACUCCGUGCCAGCAGCCGCGGUAAUACGGAGGGUGCGAGCGUUAAUCGGAAUAACUGGGCGUAAAGGGCACGCAGGCGGCUAUUUAAGUGAGGUGUGAAAUCCCCGGGCUUAACCUGGGAAUUGCAUUUCAGACUGGGUAGCUAGAGUACUUUAGGGAGGGGUAGAAUUCCACGUGUAGCGGUGAAAUGCGUAGAGAUGUGGAGGAAUACCGAAGGCGAAGGCAGCCCCUUGGGAAUGUACUGACGCUCAUGUGCGAAAGCGUGGGGAGCAAACA